UACACUUUGUGGUGUGAGUACAUUGAAACAUUAUAUUGAACAUUUUUGCUUUUGUAUUUUUUACUUGUUACAAAUGGUGCAGCUUUUCAUAUUUGACAAUGUACAAAAUAUAUAUUUGUGACAGAGCUGAAUAUUUACCGCAAACAUCCAAAGAAAGAUGACAAAUAGAUUAUUAGUGUAAUUCUUAGUUUUAUCUGAAUCUUUGCAUUGAGUCUGGUGAGAUUUAUGCUUUCUUCUUGUGCAUUGUGUGUUAGGAUCACAGAGAUGUGGGAUGUGUGUGUGUGUGUGUGUGUGUGUCCUCCUUGGGAAUAAUAUGAAUUUCAUGGUGGCUGGAUGCUUUUAGAGGAGUGACCCGUCCUAAAGUAGGCUAGUAGUGCAAUGCCUCCAGCAUGGGCCGACCACUCAAUGUGUGUGUGUGUGUGUGUGUGUGUGUGUGUGUGUGUGUGUGUGUGUGUGUGUGUGUGCGCGCGUAAAAUGGUAGUCAAGGCAUUUCCCUUCUUCCUUUGUCUGCUGCUGUGACUGACACACAAGCACACACACCUACAUGUGACAUCACGACAGCUGUUGGAGUCGAUCAGAUGGACCUGGAUGGACUGUGAAAGUGUUAGAAGGGUUCCCUUCUGUGACAGCUUCCAGCAAAUAAAGUGCAGGCAUGAGUACAAUAGACAGAAGUAUAUCUGUCAAAUACAGGACAGACCGUAAUAUGAAUAUAAGGUUCAUCUCACAAAUGUGAUAAAACGAAGAAAAAGCUCCAUUAAAGUAAAGUACCAGAGUGAACGCAGCUUAUUUCCACCAGCGACACACAACUCAUUCACCAAUGGAAGACAUUGUCCUGAAGUGCUUUAUGGGUAAUUAACUCACCCCACCCUCCCCCAUCACCCUGUGUGACUCCCCCGUCACUAUUGUGGAUUUCUUCCGUCUCCUGGGCUCCAUCAUCACCCAGGACCUCAAGUGGGAGCUGAACAUCAGCUCCAUCACCAAGAAGGCUCAGCAGAGGUUGUUCUUCCUGAGGCAGCUGAAGAAACUCAACCUGCCAAAGACGAUGAUGGUCCACUUCUACACGGCCAUCAUGGAGUCCAUCCUCUGCUCCUCCAUCAGCGUCUGGUACGCUGCAGCCACAGCCAAGGACAAGGGCAGGCUGCAGCGUGUCAUCCGCUCUGCAGAGAGGCUGAUCGGCUGCAAUCUCAUUUUAAACAUGUUUAACUUUAACGUUUAUUCCUUUAUUUUAAACUAACCCAUAGCUUCACACUACUAACCCAUAGCCUUACACUACUAACCCAUUAUUUUAUUCCUUGUGCACUGCUGUCUUGUCGUCCAUUGUCGUACUGUCUGCUGUUACGCUCCAACCGCCAAGUCACAUUCCUUGUAUGUCUGAUAUUAUGGCGAUAAAUGUUUCCUGAUUCCUGAUCAAAAGAUACAAUAUUUAUAUAAACAUAUUCAUCAAUAUCAGCUUUAUUUGUUAAAUACGUGUAUUAAUAUAAUUUACUGUACUUACUACAGAAAUAUAAAACAGUGGAAUGCUUAAAAAUGACAUUAUAAAUAUUUUUGUCUUCUAUAGAUCCGAUUGGCUGGAUCAUUAUUAUCACCUUCAGACCACUAGAUGGAGAUAAAGACCUGAGGAUCAUCCAGAGCAGCUGAUAGAAGAGCACCUACACACACACACACACACACACACACACACACACACACACACACACACACAUACACACACACACACACACACACACACACACAUUUACACACAUGGCCAGUAAACAUGAGUAGAUAUUUUGAUACUGUAAUGUGAACCUCUCCGUCUCUACUCACCAUCUGCCACACACACACACACACACACACACAAACACGCGUGCACGCACACACACACACACCCGUGCACGCACACACACACACAUGCCCCCCCCCCCCACACGCAUACACACUUUUCAUUUUUCCAUCCCUUGUCUCCAGUUCCCUCCUUCUGUCUCUCCUCACCGUCUCACUUUCUCUGUCUCUCACACACACACACACACACACACACCAACACACACACACACACACACACAGACACACACACAGACACACACCUACGGUGCCUGACACAGUAGCAUCUGGCGUCUUUCUGCUGCCGUCUUUCUGCUGCCGCCUCCCUCCUGAGACUCCUAUGAUGCGUCCUCCUCUGAACUUGCAGCUUCUCACCUGCAGAGCUCGUGUGAUCCACCUGCUUUUUAUUAAAAGGCUUAUUUUGUCAUUCAGCUAAACCUUGAAUUUAUGCCAGAAUUGAAACUUUAAAACGUCUUUCAUCCGCUGCUGAAAACUUCCAUUUUAUUUUAGCUGAUGGAAUAAGGAACAAAAAUACAAUCUUCUUACCACACUUUAAGUUUAUGGAAAGCUCGAAAUGAAUGUUUUUUCACUGUAACCCAGGUCAAAAAAAGAGGUGAAGACAGAAAAUACUGACUAAUAAUCAUAACGAAGCUCCAUAACAUCUGGUGGAGACUAACGUCGUGUGUGACGACCCUAAGCUACCCAAGCUAAGCUCAAAGAACCGAUUCUUUAAUAUUUUAAUGUGCAUGUGACGAGGCCCUGCGAUUGGCGGGCGACCGAUCCGACGUGGACCCCGUCUCUCGCCCGGAGUGACCCCGGCCCCCCGGCGACCCUGUAUGAAGGAUAAGACGAGCCUGCAUUGUUUUCUGCCUUUGGUAAGACUUGUUUUCACCCACAUGUUGGAUGUCUGGAGGAACUUUUUUUGCCAUUUUUUUUUUCUCAAGGGGCCGGACUUAACAAAGGGCCCAUGAGCACAAAAAGUGCAGGAUCAUCUCGUCAAGUAGCAAGCAUCGCCUCUUGAGGUGCAGUCAGUGUCCUGCCGCCUGUUGAAAUACGGCGACCUUUGACCCGGGGAACUCAGACCACAUCCCCACAUUGACGUCCGUCCCCCUGGAGGGAAACAUCCAACAUGGCAGCGUGCGCACAGAUCCUGGCCGUCCUACAAAGCGAAGCAAAGGAAGACGGGGAAGAGGGACGGAUGUGGAAAAGGGGGGAGUUCACACACACACACACACACACAGUGAGUACUGAUGAAAGAUACGCUGGAAAAAGCUGCAGAGAACAGAGCCCGACAGGUGGAAACCAUUAACCGCCGCAUGGAAAGUCAAACAGCACUGUGCGUGCAGGUGUGUGUGUGUCUGUGUGUGCGUGCAGGUGUGUGUGUGUCUGUGUGUGUGCGUGCAGGUGUGUGUGUGUGCAGGUGUGUGUGUGUCUGUGUGCGUGUGUGUCUUUGUGCGUGCAGGUUUCUGUGUGCGUGCAGGUGUGUGUGUGUGUGCGUGCAGGUGUGUGUGUGUGUGUCUGGGUGUGCGUGCAGGUGUGCGUGUGUGUGUGUGCGUGCAAGUGUGUUUGUGUGUGCAGGUGUGUAUGGGUCUGUGUGUGUGUGCGUGCAGGUGUGUGUGUGUCUGUGCGUGCGUGCAGGUGUGCGUAUGUCUGUGUGCAUGCAGGUGUGUCUGUGUGUGUCUGUGUGUGCGUGCAGGUGUGUGUGUGUGCGUCUGUGUGUGCGUGCAGGUGACAAUCACAGGAAACCAUUUAAAGCUGACGUAUCACCUGAGACACUCUGUGCCCCCCCGCCGCAAUUCACAAAACUCCACCCACCGGCUGCACCCCGCAGCUCAAAACAAACCCCCCCUUUGAAGCUCUUUGUAUCUAAUUUAAUAUUGACAUUUUGUAAAAGAACAGUUUUUUUUGCGUAUUAAUCUCUUUAUCUUGAUUAAUGUGACAGAGGAGAAAGUUGUUGGUUCCGACGUCAUUUGGAGGGAAGUGAUGAAAUAAAGAAGCAGGAGGCCGUUCACACAGAUGAAAUCUGAGGGUCUUGAUGGAUUAAUGUCUCGCUGCGCAGAUAAUUCAACCAGGAUGUUUUCUGUCCCCGUUUUUGAUGAUUUUAAUGCGCCUCCGUGACAGCCGGCCUCGUCAUGCAGCGUUUACGAGAAGCAGCGAGAAGACGUUUUUAUAAAUUAGAGGGCGAGUCGCCCCCUGCUGGUCACUACAGGGAAUGCAUGAUACUUUGUUUUUGACCGACCAAGAAACACUUUCAGUGUAAAAUAUGAGUUGAUGAAUGAAAGAAUGUGAUGACUCAUUGGAAAUAACCCCGUGAGACUUCCUCAGUUUUCCUUCCCCCCCCCCCCGUCUGGGUGAUGGAUGACCUCCUCGGAGGGGCUUCCUGUGCCGUUUGGGAAGUCGUUAGGGCCGAGCUGGAUUCCUUUUUUUCGAACAUAUGUGUGAUUUGUGUGGCAUCGGCGGUCGGACUGGAUGACGGGGAGAAGGUGAAGUGAACUAGGAAGCAGCGCUGUGCUUCUUGGCUCAUUGGUCUGAUGGUAACGAUGGGAAAGGGAAAGAAAGUUGAUGACGGAGAUCUUAUCAGCUGGGAAAAACCAGACUCUCAGGGGUUGGUUUAGUUCCGUCAUUUUCUCUCCUUCUUUCUUCUCUCCAUUUCUUUUUCUCCCUCAUUCCUCCUCAUGUCGUCCUCCUUUCCUUCUCCCUUUUUCAUCUUUCAGAUUCGUCAUUUUCUCUUGUCUUUCUCUCCAUCGAUCCUCCGUCUUUCUCCCCUGAUUUCAUUCAUUCUGGCUCCUGUCUCGUUCCCUUCUUUGUCUGGCAUCCCUCCCUCAUUAUUCUCCCCCCCCGCCCCCCCAUC
ensembl:lncRNA